AUUGAACGCUGGCGGCAGGCCUAACACAUGCAAGUCGAGCGGAGCGGCGGACGGGAGAGUAAUGCUAAGGAAUCUGCCUGGUAGCGGGGGAUAACGUCCGGAAACGGGCGCUAAUACCGCAUACUAUCCGACGAGCCUAGGUCGGAUUGGCGAGUUGGUGGGGUAAAGGCCUACCAAGGCUACGAUCCGUAACUGGUCUGAGAGGAUGAUCAGUCACACUGGAACUGAGACACGGUCCAGACUCCUACGGGAGGAAGCAGUGGGGAACAUUGGACAAUGUGGGAAGGCCUGAUCCGGCCAUGCCGCGGGUGGAAAGAAGGUCUUCGGAUUGUAAAGCACGUUAAGUUGGGAGGCGUUACCAACAGAAUAAGCACCGGCUAACUUCGUGCCAGCAGCCGCGGUAAUUC
rnacentral:rRNA from 1 species